GCGCUGCAGGGCAUUUGUCACCAUUAGUGACAGCUCUUGUUUGAAGUAGUGUUAGGGUAGAGCGUCUGAUUCUGGUUCAAGGGGUCACAGAAUUGAAUGGAGGUUGAUUUCAGUUUUCACUAUCUCUAGUUUAAGACUAAGGUCUAGUUAGAAAUCCAGAAAGGACUUUAUUCUCUAUAACAAUGUAAAGUAAAAACACAUGUAUUUGAACUAUUAUAUUUCCAGAAAGUUGCCUUUAAACGUUUCCCAGACUUAUAUCAGUUUGCUAUAGCCAGUGUGGCAAGUGUAGACAGCAGGAAGUCCUUGUUGAAGUAUUUUAAUCCUCUCAGUACAAGUGACAUACACAGGAUAUUGGGUCAUCUCAACAUGUUGCCUAUGUUAGAGGAAGGUCAGGAUUCAACACAAGACAGAGAGUUCCUUCUAGAACUCAUGGUAAGCCACCAUGAGAGAAAGAAGUCCCAGCUGGAACAGAUUAAUGAGAUGCCACUGUACCCUACCGAAGAUAUCAUCUGGGAUGUGAAUAUAGUGCCAACAGAGUAUUAUAAUGGUGAAGGUAGGCUAUCAGA
rnacentral:lncRNA from 1 species